UACAGAGGGGGCUAGCGUUGUUCGGAAUUACUGGGCGUAAAGGGCGCGUAGGUGGCCUGUUAAGUCGAACGUGAAAUCCCCGGGCUCAACCCGGGAACUGCGUCCGAGACUGGCAGGCUCGAAUCCGGGAGAGGGAUGUGGAAUUCCAGGUGUAGCGGUGAAAUGCGUAGAUAUCUGGAGGAACACCGGUGGCGAAGGCGGCAUCCUGGACCGGUAUUGACGCUGAGGCGCGAAAGCCAGGGGAGCAAACAGG
rnacentral:rRNA from 1 species